rnacentral:rRNA from 1 species
UGGGGAAUAUUGCACAAUGGGGGAAACCCUGAUGCAGCGACGCCGCGUGAGCGAAGAAGGUUUUCGAAUCGUAAAGCUCUUUCCUAUGGGAAGAUAAUGACGGUACCAUAGGAGGAAGCCCCGGCUAACUACGUGCCAGCAGCCGCGGUAAUACGUAGGGGGCAAGCGUUGUCCGGAAUCACUGGGCGUAAAGGGUUCGCAGGCGGAAAUGCAAGUCAGUUGUGAAAGGCAGAGGCUCAACCUUUGUAAGCAAUUGAAACUGUAUUUCUUGAGGUGUGGAGAGGCAAGUGGAAUUCCUAGUGUAGCGGUGAAAUGCGUAGAUAUUAGGAAGAAUACCGGUGGCGAAGGCGACUUGCUGGACACAAACUGACGCUGAGGAACGAAAGCGUGGGUAGCAAACAGG